AUUGAACGCUGGCGGCAUGCUUUACACAUGCAAGUCGAACGGCAGCGCGGGCUUCGGCCUGGCGGCGAGUGGCGAACGGGUGAGUAAUGCAUCGGAACGUGCCCAGUAGUGGGGGAUAGCCCGGCGAAAGCCGGAUUAAUACCGCAUACGACCUGCGGGUGAAAGCGGGGGACCGAAAGGCCUCGCGCUCUUGGAGCGGCCGAUGUCGGAUUAGCUAGUUGGUGGGGUAAAGGCUUACCAAGGCGACGAUCCGUAGCUGGUCUGAGAGGACGUCCAGCCACACUGGGACUGAGACACGGCCCAGACGCCUACGGGAGGCAGCAGUGGGGAACUUUGGACAAUGGGGGCAACCCUGAUCCAGCCAUGCCGCGUGCGGGAAGAAGGCCUUCGGGUUGUAAAGCGCUUUUGUUCGGGAAGAAAUCCUCUGGGCUAAUACCCCGGGGGGAUGACGGUACCGGAAGAAUAAGCACCGGCUAACUACGUG
rnacentral:rRNA from 1 species